rnacentral:sRNA from 1 species
ACAUAAAAUACCCAAGAAAAAUAAAAUUUAAAAAUGUAAAUACAAAAAAAAGUGAUGGAAUUCAAACAGAAAAACACGUUGUCACGUUGACAGGUCUAGAGUCACCUAGGAGGCACACUGUGGGGAAUGCCUUAUUGAAGGUGUUUCUGUGAAGACUUCACUGUGGAUGUGGACAUCUCCAUCCCAUGGGCUGGAGCUCUAGACUGAGUACAAAGAUGCAGCAAGCUCAGAGCUGGCGCUCAUCUCUUGUUCCUCUUUUCUUCCUGUUGCCAUGAUGCUGUUCACCCUCAAGUUGGGAGCCCCAAGCCCUCUCCCCUUUAGGCUGCCUUUAGCACAGAAGUGAAGAAGUAACUAACUCCUAUGACGUUAGCAAAGAGGUCAGGAAGUCUGACAGGCGGGAAGCCAGACGACGGAGCCUUUGUUCUGUUUCCUCUCUGGAGGCAGGGGCUCUGGUCCUGAGCCGGCCUUUGACCUGGCUCUGUAGCCCAGGCUAGGCUUAAGCAGCAAGGAGCACAUUUGUAGUCAGGGUCAAGACAAAGAGGCCCUAGAACAAGUCCUAGUUCUACAUAACUUACAGAAGAGGAGGAGACCCAGGCCUCCAUGGGCACCCAGUUUUCCCAGCAAGGACGGCACUCAAGACAGGAAAGAUGCCUUCGAGCAAAGCUCUGACACUUGUUUUGUGCAUUCUGGUGGAGAUGGGGCCUGGGUCUUCUUCUCUUUAAACCCAGGAUUCAUGACUGCCUGGCCAACCAAUCGUGGAGGAAGUGAGGCACUGCCAUAUUUCAGGCCCACAGUUCUAGGAGUCAGUAGUUUCCAUUCGUUUCUUCCUGGUGUCACUCUUAGAACCUGAACAGGGUUAAUUUUCCAGGACACAAUUUCUCUGUAUAGCCCAGGCUGUCCUGAAACUCAAUCUGCAGAUCAGGCUGGCCUAGACACACACACACACACACACACACACACAUACACACACACACACACACACAAAUAAUAAAAAAUAAAAUAACCAUUAAGAUAAAAUGAGGGCCCUAGGACAAAGUCCUAGUCCCAAGUCAGUCCCACCAAUUUACAUUUCCUUCAAAGGAGCCCAGCAUUCCUCUUAUGUCUGUAUUAUGCAGCUCAAUCCCUCACACUUCCUCUUCAAGAUUGCUGCAAAUAUCCCCCUAGCCAAUGACUGGCAACCACACCCGCUCAUGGCCCUUUCCUGCUGACAGCCCAUCCGGUGCCUUUAAGAGAAUGUUAGCACUCCUGAGCAGUGAGUCCAGAGUUCCUUAUGGUUCCACAGAGAGACUGCUGCUCCCUUGGGUCACGUGUGUCCUCUUGCCUACCUUGACGACUCCCAAGUGCCGUCUCUCAUGCCCUUUCAUUACCUCCCAUCCAGGGGCUCAGCCUUGACUACCACUCUCCCCACCUCUUCUCAUUUGCACGGAUACUGAACGAACCUGCUACCACACGUAUCACAGCAGCCGUCACAGUUUGACUGCCCUUCCUGUCAUCUCAAGUCAACUGUAAGUCCCCAUAAGAUGGAGGCUGUGGUCUUUCCUCAUGUGCCCCUGGCACUAGGAAGACCUUAGACAUACAAUAGCUAUUUGUGAAAUAAAUGAAAAGGCAGAUGGGGAGCUGGUACGGGAGGUUGAAUCUGUGAGGGGGUGGGAAGGAAAACACAGAAAGCAGAGCAGGCAGGAGCCUCAGAAUGAAGAGCUGCACAUAAGCAAACGUCGUGUGUGUGCGGUGUGCGCACCAUAAUCCGCUGCAGGUCUGGCACGUGCUGACGCUCAAUAGACUCUAACUUUUUGUUACUGUGACCAAAGUACCAGACAGAAACAACUUAAAGGGGGUGUUUGCUUUAGCUCAGAGUUUUUGAGGGCUCAGUCCACCAUGAUGAGGGGAGAGUGGUGGAGCAGGGCAGCUCCAGCAUAACAGUCAGGAAGCAAAGGGAAAUGCUGGCCUUCAACGAGGUUCGCCUUUUUCCUCUUUGAUUUUCAGCAGGGCCUAAGCGCACGGGGAUGUACUAUAGGUGCACAGUCAGCAUGGUCUUCUAACCUUCCGCUCUGGAAAUGCCUCCACAGACACACUCAGGGAACAAGAAGAGGAGGUCCUCUCUCAACACCCGUAUUCAAGCUUGUGUUCCAAUCAGAAAAUGAACAUUUUGUGCUCAAAUUUAUAUGGAAAUGCAAGGAAUUCAAACUAGAUCGAGCAAUCCUUAAAAAGGAAGAAAGCUAGCGAUCAAACCCAGGUCCUGUGUACCCCCACCCCGGCCACCCUAAGGCGCUAAGAUACUGAAAGGGCGGAAAGAAGAGUCUUUUCAACGAAUGGUGGAUGCUGGAGAGCCACACACAAAGGAGGGAGACCCCAAGCCAUACCUAAAAGUUAGCCUCCAGCUGAGCAGAGACCCAUAUGUAAGGUCCAAGUCCAAAGCUCUGUCGGGGCACUGGAGUAAACGCUCACGAGCUUGCAUUCCUUGGCUACAGCUCCAAAGCCCCAGUGACAGAGGAAAAGAUGGAUUAACUGGACUUUCUCAACAUUGAGUCCUUGGUGCUUCAAACCUAGACACUAAAUUUAAAAGACAACCUAAAGGAUGGGGGACUAUGUAAAGACUAUCUGCAAUCCAAUGACAAUAUGUUAACCCAACUGAAAAUUAGACCACUAGUAAAUAGAGAUUUUUUAAUGUUA